GGUCCCCUGAGGUUGAUGGGGGAUCUGGCCUGCUCUAUGAGGGUUAAAUGGCCGCAGUAUUUUGACUGUGCUAAGGUAGCAUAAUAAUUAGUCUUAUGAUUGGGGACUGGAAUGAAUGGUUUGACAAAGAAAGCGCUGUCUUGGGUUUAGAAGUUGAAAUUUGUUUAGGUGUGAAAAGGCGCGUAUGAAUCUGAGGGACGAGAAGACCCUGUCGAGUUUUAUUUGACUUAUGAUGGGAGAUUUAAAUUAAUGAUUUUUGUUUGAUUGUUGGAUUUUGCUGGGGCGGCAAUGAAAGAGGGGAUCUUUUAUUUGAGGUUGAGAUUUAUAGUACGAAGUUAAUUGAUCCACUUGUGUAGAGGUGAGAAGAGGAUUAAAUUACCGCAGGGAUAACAGCGUAAAAUUGUCGGAGAGUUCUUAUCGAUGAUGAAUAUUGCGACCUCGAUGUUGAAUUAGAAUGGCUGUUUAGGUGAAGGAGCUAAAUAAGUAAGUCUGUUCGACUUUUGAAUUUCUACA
rnacentral:rRNA from 1 species